rnacentral:misc_RNA from 1 species
GAUGAAGAACGCAGCGAAAUGCGAUAAGUAAUGUGAAUUGCAGAAUUCAGUGAAUCAUCGAAUCUUUGAACGCACAUUGCGCCCCUUGGUAUUCCGAGGGGCAUGCCUGUUCGAGCGUCAUUAUAUCCCCUCAAGCUCAGCUUGGUGUUGGGGCCUGCUGCACUGGCAGCCCUUAAAAUCAGUGGCGGCGCCAUCUGGCUCUAAGCGUAGUAAUUCUUCUCGCUAUGGAGUCCUGGUGGAUGCUUGCCAUCAACCCCCAAUUUUUCUAUGGUUGACCUCGGAUCAGGUAGGGAUACCCGCUGAACUUAAGCAUAUCAAUAAGCGGAGGA